rnacentral:lncRNA from 1 species
CUGGACUAUAGAGUAUGAGAAAAAACCAAAAGGGGUAAUAUAUGGAAAGAAGAGUGAUCCUGAACAGGGCAGAGAAGGUGGGCCAGUCCCAGCACCCAGAAGGAACCUUCUCCGCCCCCACCCCACGCUCCUAGGGCAGAGAAGCUGAGCUGCGCGGGAGUCAGAAGCACAACGCCCCCUCCCAUGGAAAUG